rnacentral:rRNA from 1 species
CACCCGCAGCUCGAGUGGUGGUCACUUUUAUUGAGCCUAAAGCGUUUGUAGCCGGUUUUGCAAAUCUUCAGAUAAAUUCCUCUGCUUAACAGAUGAUCUUCUGAAGAGACUGCGAGACUUGGGACCGGGUGAGGUUGAAGGUACUUCCGGGGUAGGGGUAAAAUCCUGUAAUCCUGGAAGGACGACCGGUGGCGAAGGCGUUCAACUAGAACGGAUCCGACGGUGAGGAACGAGGGCUAGGGUAGCAAACCGGAUUAGAUACCCGGGUAGUCCUAGCUGUAAACACUGCCCACUUGGUGUUGCCCCUCCGAUGAGGGGAGGCAGUGCCGGGGCGAAGGUGUUAAGUGGGCCGCUUGGGGAGUAUGGUCGCAAGGCUGAAACUUAAAGGAAUUGGCGGGGGAGCACCGCAACGGGAGGAGCGUGCGGUUUAAUUGGAUUCAACGCCGGAAAACUCACCGGGAGCGACCUUUGGAUGAGAGUCAGCCUGAUGAGCUUACUCGAUAGAAGGAGAGGUGGUGCAUGGCCGUCGUCAGCUCGUACCGUAGGGCGUUCACUUAAGUGUGAUAACGAGCGAGACCCCCAUCUCUAAUUGCUAACGCGCAUUCGCGUGCACGCGCACUUUAGAGGGACCGCCAGUGCUAAACUGGAGGAAGGAGGGGUCGACGGCAGGUCAGUACGCCCCGAAUCUCCCGGGCAACACGCGCGCUACAAAGGGCAGGACAAUGAGUUGCCACCUCGAAAGGGGGAGCUAAUCUCGAAACCUGUUCGUAGUUAGGAUUGAGGGCUGUAACUCGCCCUCAUGAAUGUGGAUUCCGUAGUAAUCGCGGGUCAACAGCCCGCGGUGAAUAUGCCCCUGCUCCU